GACGAACGCUGGCGGCGCGCCUAACACAUGCAAGUCGAACGAGGUCUUUUAGGAAGCUUGCUUCUUGGCUGACCUAGUGGCGGACGGGUGAGUAACACGCGAGCAACCUGCCGGGGAGUGGGGGAUAACGUCUGGAAACGGACGCUAAUACCGCAUAACAUAACGGGAUGGCAUCAUCCUGGUAUCAAAGGAGAAAUCCGCUUUUUGAUGGGCUCGCGGCCGGUUAGGUAGUUGGUGGGGUAAAGGCCCACCAAGCCGACGAUCGGUAGCCGGACUGAGAGGUUGAUCGGCCACAUUGGGACUGAGACACGGCCCAGACUCCUACGGGAGGCAGCAGUGGGGAAUAUUGCACAAUGGGGGAAACCCUGAUGCAGCGACGCCGCGUGAGUGAAGACGGCCUUCGGGUUGUAAAGCUCUGUUGACGGGGACGAUAAUGACGGUACCCGUUCAGAAAGCCACGGCUAACUACGUGCCAGCAGCCGCAGUAA
rnacentral:rRNA from 1 species